GAGUCCCAGCUACUCAGGAGGCUGAGGUAGGAGAAUCGCUUGAACGCGGGAGGUAGAGGUUGCAGUGAGCUGAGAUCAUGUCACUGCACUCCAGCCUGGUCAACAGAGCGAGACUACGUCUCAAAAAAAAAACAAAGACAACCCUAAUUGGGGAGGUGCUCCAGCCCGCUCCCACUCUGUGAAUUGUCUUGGAUAAAUCUCUGCUUUGUCUUCUGUUGCUUCGUUCUUUUUUUCCUUUUUCUUUUUAUUGAAACAGACUACCC
rnacentral:lncRNA from 1 species